rnacentral:lncRNA from 1 species
AUAUGUCAGACUGUCUAUCUGGUUAAGGAAUUGUUAUGUGAUUAAUUGUUUUAUGUGCACGUGAUUGUUUGACUGGGGUUGGGGUGAGGCGGGUCCUGCUUUAUGCUGUAGGCCAAUAUACCCAAGGCGGAUCAGAUAUCCCGAAGGCCCAACAAGCGGUCCGGAUAGGCAGAAGGCCCUAUGCGGGCAGACCAGACGUGCCAAGGCUCGGAGAGUGGACCAGGCCGACUGAAGGCCCGAUGUGGGCGGACUAGUCAUACUGUAGACUCAGAGAGUGGACCAGGGGGAUUGAAGGCCCGAUNGAGUGGACCAGGUGGAUUGAAGGCCCGAUACGGGCGGACCAAUCACACUAUAGACUCGAUGUACAUGGCUAGACUCGAAGGGUGGACCUGGUGGACUGAAGGCACGGUGCGGGCGGACCAAUCACACUGUAGACUCGAUGUACAUGGCUAGACUCGGAGGGUGGACUAGGGGGACUGAAGGCCCGGUGCUGGCGGACAAAUCACACAGUAGACCCGAUGUGCAUGGUUGUUCUGUAUUGUGAUAUGAUAUGAGUAUGGUUAUAUGUGGAUGGUAUUUUGGGGGUAACUCACUAAACUUUCGGGCUUACAGUUCAGUGUUUUAUUUCAGGUACUUCAGGAGAUCGUGGCAAGGCGAAGGCAUGAUCAUAGCGUUCCUCAUGUUUUACGAUUUAUGUGAUAUGGUUCUAGGGAAUACUAUGAUGUUUAAACUAUUUUGAAACAAAUGUAUGAACUUAAUGGUUUUUG